AUACGGAGGGUGCAAGCGUUAUCCGGAUUCACUGGGUUUAAAGGGUGCGUAGGCGGGGUAAUAAGUCAGUGGUGAAAUCCUACAGCUUAACUGUAGAACUGCCAUUGAAACUGUUAUCCUUGAGUAUAGUUGCAGAGGGCGGAAUGUGUCAUGUAGCGGUGAAAUGCAUAGAUAUGCCACAGAACACCGAUUGCGAAGGCAGCUCUCUAAACUAUUACUGACGCUGAGGCACGAAAGCGUGGGUAGCGAACAGGAUUAGAAACCCCGGUAGUCC
rnacentral:rRNA from 1 species